UACGGAGGGGGCUAGCGUUGUUCGGAAUUACUGGGCGUAAAGGGCGCGUAGGCGGUUUACCAAGUCAGGCGUGAAAGGCCUGGGCUCAACCCGGGAACUGCGCUUGAUACUGGUGGACUUGAGUCCGGGAGAGGAUGGCGGAAUUCCCAGUGUAGAGGUGAAAUUCGUAGAUAUUGGGAAGAACACCGGUGGCGAAGGCGGCCAUCUGGACCGGAACUGACGCUGAGGCGCGAAAGCGUGGGGAGCAAACAGG
rnacentral:rRNA from 1 species